CCCCUAGACGUUCUGGGCUGCACGCGCGCUACAAUAAUACGCACAGCGAGUAUCACCGAGCUCGAAAGGGCAAGGUAAACAAUAGAAAAGGUACUGUAAUGGUUAUAGAUCCUUGUAAUUAUUGAUCUUCAACGAGGAAUUCCUAGUAAGUAUGUGUCAUCAUCACGCACUGAUUACGUCCCUGCCCUUUGUACACACCGCCCGUCGCUCCUACCGAUUGGGUGAGCCGAUGAAACUCUCGGAUGUAGGCUAUUCAUAGCCCGCAGAAGAGAUUUGAAUCGUAGCGCGUAGAGGAAGGAGAAGUCGUAACA
rnacentral:rRNA from 1 species